UACGGGGGGGGGCAAGCGUUGUUCGGAAUUACUGGGCGUAAAGGGCUCGUAGGCGGCCAACUAAGUCCGACGUGAAAUCCCCAGGCUUAACCUGGGAACUGCGUCGGAUACUGGAUGGCUUGAAUUCGGGAGAGGGAUGCAGAAUUCCAGGUGUAGCGGUGAAAUGCGUAGAUAUCUGGAGGAAUACCGGUGGCGAAGGCGGCAUCCUGGACCGACAUUGACGCUGAUGAGCGAAAGCUAGGGGAGCAAACAGG
rnacentral:rRNA from 1 species